rnacentral:tRNA from 1 species
GGAAGAGUGGCAGAGUGGUCUAUCGCGGCAGUCUUGAAAACUGUUGGGUGUAACAGCCCCGGGGGUUCGAAUCCCUCCUCUUCCGCAA